rnacentral:rRNA from 1 species
AUUGAACGCUGGCGGCAUGCUUUACACAUGCAAGUCGAACGGCAGCGCGGGCUUCGGCCUGGCGGCGAGUGGCGAACGGGUGAGUAAUACAUCGGAACGUGCCCAGUAGUGGGGGAUAGCUCGGCGAAAGCCGGAUUAAUACCGCAUACGACCUGAGGGUGAAAGCGGGGGAUCUUCGGACCUCGCGCUAUUGGAGCGGCCGAUGGCAGAUUAGCUAGUUGAUGGGGUAAAGGCCUACCAAGGCGACGAUCUGUAGCUGGUCUGAGAGGACGACCAGCCACACUGGGACUGAGACACGGCCCAGACUCCUACGGGAGGCAGCAGUGGGGAAUUUUGGACAAUGGGCGAAAGCCUGAUCCAGCAAUGCCGCGUGUGUGAUGAAGGCCUUCGGGUUGUAAAGCACUUUUGGCGGGAACGAAAAGGACUGUGCCAAUACCACGGUUCGAUGACGGUACCCGCAGAAUAAGCACCGGCUAACUACGUG